CCUACGGGGCGCAGCAGUGGGGGAUAUUGCACAAUGGGGGGAACCCUGAUGCAGCGACGCCGCGUGGGUGAAGAAGCGCCUCGGCGCGUAAAGCCCUGUCAGCAGGGAAGAAAAUGACGGUACCUGAAGAAGAAGCCCCGGCUAACUACGUGCCAGCAGCCGCGGUAAUACGUAGGGGGCAAGCGUUAUCCGGAUUUAUUGGGUUUAAAGGGAGCGUAGAUGGGUUGACAAGUCAGAUGUGAAAUCCUGCGGCUUAACCGCAGAACUGCAUUUGAAACUGUUGAUCUUGAGUACUGGAGAGGCAG
rnacentral:rRNA from 1 species